rnacentral:rRNA from 1 species
UACGGAGGAUCCAAGCGUUAUCCGGAAUUACUGGGCGUAAAGAGUUGCGUAGGUGGCAUAGUAAGUAGAUAGUGAAAGCCUGGGGCUCAACCCCUUCAACAUUAUCUAAACUGCUAAGCUAGAAGAUGAGAGAGGUAGAUGGAAUUUCUAGUGUAGGAGUGAAAUCCGUAGAUAUUAGAAGGAACACCGAUGGCGUAGGCAGUCUACUGGCUCAUUCUUGACACUAAGGCACGAAAGCGUGGGGAGCAAACGGG